UAUCAGCGUAGUCAAACUGUGAAUGGCUAUGUAAUAGCUACUAUAAAUAUGUGUUUGGCUUCUUCCUGGUUGUGUGCAUCUCAUCGUGUUGUCGCUCAAACAAGUUUGAUAAUUAAUGCAAGAAAAGCGAAGAGACUACUUUAAUAAAUCGGGAUACAAUCACUAAGGCACAAGUAGUCAGCAGUGUAUUCUGGUUAGGGAGAGUGACAGGAGGGCCUUCAUCAAAGGCAGCUUCCUCCCGCAGGCUUUCUCAGUGUGGAACAUGGCUGCAGGGAGGAUCAGUGAGCAGAUAAUCUGAGUCCCAUGCCAGCCUGGGAGCUAAUCAACAUCCAUCUCAUAAGACCGAAGGCAAUGGAGCUCCACACUGAAUGGAGAUCAAAAUAAAACAAAAAGAUUUAAGGAAAAAUCCACACAAACACUAUCUUUUGGUAUUUUUUUCAUUAGUCCACUGUUGAUACAGUCCCAAAAUGUUUUGCAUGUCAGCUGUCAAGUUUUCAAGGCAUAGGAUUUUCAAGAAGCAAAGUGUCACCUGCCAGUCAUCAUGAUUAUGCGUUUCACAUCAAAUAAUGAUGUGGCAAGUGACACUUUGCUUCUUGAAAGUCCAAUAUCUUGAAAACAUUUUGGGACCGUAUCAACAGUGGACUAAUGAUCACUCAAGGCAUGUUUUCAACCUCCACUGAGGAAAUCUAAGAUCUGUAUCAUUAUGUCACCACGUGCAAAGGGCAUACCUUACAAAGGUGACUAGCCCUCUGAAUGUGAUUAAUUAAAUGUCUGGGAUGAGGAGAAAACAGAGUGACAAACUACUACAUUACUUCCUUUGUAAUAUAGAUAAUACACCGCUCUUCACAUAAAAAAACUUUGGACUAAGAAAAUAGAUCAAGAUUUUAUGCCUUCAUAGUAAUUUAUGGAAAAUUGGCAUAUUUUUCCCAACUAUGAGAGAAGAGGUUUUCAAUUAACAAAGUACAUCUAAAAUACUUUGAUUAAAUCAUCUCCCAAAAUGAUCACUUAACAUGAAAGAUACCUUGCCCCCAUUUAAAAUAAAAUGUAAAUAAACAUUUACAUUUUCAACAUUUACAUUUAAUUGGAGCCAGACAAAAUACAGCAACAUAACAUGACCAAAACCAUACCCAUUAUUUAUUAACUAUUGGUUACAGCGAACUGUGCUGAUUGAAUAGUUGUUAAAAGGUCCCAGCAUGUUAUCAUAAUACAUUAGGUAUUUUUUCUAUGUUUAAGUAUGAAAAUCAGGAAAUUCUUGGAAAAACAACAUUAUUUACAAGUAGGAUGAGGAAACGCACGUGCUCAGACAGAUGCAGACGAACACUUUGCAGCACAAAAAUCAAAGGAUUUGGGGUGGUUAGCACACUAAUUUCCAAACCCCUUGCACAACAUGAUGGUUCAUAUGUUGAACUAAUAAAUAAACUCUAGGGCAUGUAACUAAAUUAAUUUAAAUUAACUCAAUGACUCGUGUGUAUGCAUUAUGAAACAGGGCCCUGUGUUUUGGUUAAUCAUGUCACAUAACCUGGAUUUUAACCUUUAUUUCAAGCUUUUUCAUCAAACUGUCCCCUUCUUUUUUAUGUCAGAUGGUCCAGCACCAUCCUCAGACAAUUGCUUUCAUUUUUCAUUAAUUCUCAUUUCUGGAAAAUACUUAAAAUAAAAGGUUAAAAUCCAGGUCAUGUGACAUGAUUAACCAAAACACAGGGGCCUAAUUAUGAUAAAUCAUAUGGUCUUGGUAAUAUGACUAAGACACUGAAUUGGGUGAAUUUAAUGUUGAAUAUCUCUGCUAUGAAACGUGAUGUGCAGUCUAGAAAGACUGUGCUAAACAAGAGUACUUUGAUUGAAAACACCUUUUGACCAACCCCUAGCAGACCAACAAACCUCUGCAUCCAAUAUGAUCACUUUCUAACUGAUCAUUAGUCUAAGAAACUCACCAAUUAAGGAUACAGUGGCGCAGUGGUCUAAGGCACUGCAUCGCAGUGCUAACUGUGCCACUAGAGAUCCUGGUUCGAAUCCAGGC